AAUCACCUUCUUGACAGCGAAGGAGACCUGUGCCUGACAAUGGAAACAAUUGUAGCAUUAGCAGUGUUGCUGGGAACAUUAUCUUAUGGUCGCUGUGUUGAACUCACUCAGCCAGGCUCUAUGGUAGUAAAACCAGGAGAGACUUUAUCUGUCUCCUGUAAAGUCUCAUAUUCACUGCGCAGCUAUAGUACGAACUGGAUCCGACAGCCUGCAGGGAAAGCUCUGGAGUGGAUUGGAUAUAUAGGGACGGGUGGCGGCACUGCUUAUAAAGAUUCACUAAAGAACAAGUUCACCAUCACCAGAGACACCUCCAGCAGCACAGUGACUUUUCAGGGGAGCAGCCUGCAGACUGGAGACACAGUGUAUUACUGUUCCCGAGACCCACAGUGCAGUAAAGCAACACUAGAGCUGUACAAAGCGCUCACUGGCCUCAUAUUCACCAUUACAUAUUGAUAAAGUUUUAUGUUAAAUAAAUUAUCUUCAACUUUUAGAAAUCCUUUCUUUCAUCAGCAUUAAAAGAGAAACAUUGAAUUCAAUCAUCA